rnacentral:rRNA from 1 species
UUCUGGUUGAUCCCGGCGGAGGCUACUGCUAUUGGGAUUCGAUUAAGCCAUGCAAGUUGAAUGAAUUUAGAUUCAUGGCGUACGGCUCAGUAACACGUGGAUAACUUACCCUUAGGACUGGGAUAACUCUGGGAAACUGGGGAUAAUACUGGAUAUUAGGCUAUGCCUGGAAUGGUUUGCCUUUGAAAUGUUUUUUCGCCUAAGGAUAGAUCUGCGGCUGAUUAGGUCGUUGGUGGGGUAAUGGCCCACCAAGCCGAUGAUCGGUACGGGUUGUGAGAGCAAGAGCCCGGAGAUGGAACCUGAGACAAGGUUCCAGACCCUACGGGGUGCAGCAGGCGCGAAACCUCCGCAAUGUACGAAAGUGCGACGGGGGGAUCCCAAGUGUCAUGCUUUUUUGUAUGACUUUUCAUUAGUGUAAAAAGCUUUUAGAAUAAGAGCUGGGCAAGACCGGUGCCAGCCGCCGCGGUAACACCGGCAGCUCGAGUGGUAGCUGUUUUUAUUGGGCCUAAAGCGUUCGUAGCCGGUUUGAUAAGUCUUUGGUGAAAGCUUGUAGCUUAACUAUAAGAAUUGCUGGAGAUACUAUCAGACUUGAAGUCGGGAGAGGUUAGAGGUACUACCGGGGUAGGGGUGAAAUCNNUAUAUCCUGGGAGGACACCUGUGGCGAAGGCGUCUAACUGGAACGAUCUUGACGGUGAGUAACGAANGCCAGGGNCGCGAACCNGAUAGAUACC